GGUGAACGCUGGCGGCGUGCUAAGACAUGCAAGUCGAACGGCAGUCUUCGGACUGUAGUGGCGCACGGGUGGGUAACGCGUAACUGACCUACCCCAAAGUCGCGGAUAACGAUUCGAAAGAAUCGCUAAUACGUGAUGUGCUGUCAGAUUGUGUUCUGCCAGUAAAGAUUGAUUGCUUUGGGAUGGGGUUGCGUUCCAUCAGCUAGUUGGUGGGGUAAAGGCCCACCAAGGCGACGACGGAUAGCCGGCCUGAGAGGGUGGCCGGCCACAGGGGCACUGAGACACGGGUCCCACUCCUACGGGAGGCAGCAGUUAGGAAUCUUCCACAAUGGGCGAAAGCCUGAUGGAGCGACGCCGCGUGAGGGAUGAAGGUCUUCGGAUCGUAAACCUCUGAAUCAGGGACGAAAGACACUUCGGUGGGAUGACGGUACCUGAGUAAUAGCACCGGCUAACUCCGUGCCAGCCGCCGCGGUAAAAC
rnacentral:rRNA from 1 species